GAUCCUGGAGUCGGCGAUCCUGACGGCGGUGGUGGUGGUGAGCCUGACGGCGUACACGUUCUGGGCGGCGAGGCGCGGGCACGACUUCAGCUUCCUGGGCCCGUUCCUGUUCGCGGCGGUGAUGAUCCUCAUGGUGUUCGCGCUCAUCCAGGCCUUCUUCCCGCUGGGCCGCAUCUCGCUGAUGGUCUACGGCGGGCUGGCGGCGCUCGUCUUCUGCGGCUACAUCAUCUACGACACCGACAACCUCAUCAAGCGCUACUCCUACGACGAGUACGUCUGGGCCGCCGUCGCGCUCUACCUCGACGUCAUCAACCUCUUCCUCUCCCUGCUCACCCUCUUCAGGGCAUCCGAUUCCUGAAGUGCCUGCAUCUCCCGCCGUAGCGUAGCGUAGCCCCUCCUCCUAUCCUACUCUAGUAAUCCUUCCCCUGCCGUUACAUCACGAAUGUGCUUUGCUUGUGUGUGAAACAAUUUAUUGUAAAUUAGUUUUGACUUGUUUUUACAUAAUUUGGUCUAUGUGACUUUGUAGGCUGCCAAUAUCAAGA
rnacentral:lncRNA from 1 species